AUGGAGUAUCCAUGGCUGAAUACAUAGGCCAUGUGAAGCGAACGCGGUGAACUGAAACAUCUAAGUAACCGCAGGAAAAGAAAUCAACCGAGAUUCCCAAAGUAGUGGCGAGCGAAAUGGGAUGAGCCUUGUACUCUUUAUUUGUAUUGUUAGCCGAACGCUCUGGAAAGUGCGGCCAUAGCAGGUGAUAGCCCUGUAGGCGAAAACAGUAUGAAAGAACUAGGUGUGCGACAAGUAGGGCGGGACACGUGAAAUCCUGUCUGAAGAUGGGGGGACCAUCCUCCAAGGCUAAAUACUCGUGAUCGACCGAUAGUGAACCAGUACCGUGAGGGAAAGGCGAAAAGAACCCCGGGAGGGGAGUGAAAUAGAUCCUGAAACCGCAUGCAUACAAACAGUCGGAGCCUCGCAAGGGGUGACGGCGUACCUUUUGUAUAAUGGGUCAGCGACUUACGUUCAGUAGCAAGCUUAACCGUAUAGGGCAGGCGUAGCGAAAGCGAGUCCGAAUAGGGCGUUCAGUUGCUGGGCGUAGACCCGAAACCAGGUGAUCUAUCCAUGGCCAGGAUGAAGGUGCGGUAACACGUACUGGAGGUCCGAACCCACUAACGUUGAAAAGUUAGGGGAUGAGCUGUGGAUAGGGGUGAAAGGCUAAACAAACCUGGAAAUAGCUGGUUCUCUCCGAAAACUAUUUAGGUAGUGCCUCGUGUCUCACCUUCGGGGGUAGAGCACUGUCAUGGUUGGGGGGUCUAUUGCAGAUUACCCCGCCAUAGCAAACUCCGAAUACCGAAGAGUGCAAUCACGGGAGACAGACAUCGGGUGCUAACGUCCGGUGUCAAGAGGGAAACAACCCAGACCGCCAGCUAAGGUCCCCAAAUAUGGCUAAGUGGGAAACGAAGUGGGAAGGCUAAAACAGUCAGGAGGUUGGCUUAGAAGCAGCCACCCUUUAAAGAAAGCGUAAUAGCUCACUGAUCGAGUCGUCCUGCGCGGAAGAUGUAACGGGGCUAAGCCAUAUACCGAAGCUGCGGAUGCGAGCUAGUCUCGCAUGGUAGGAGAGCGUUCCGUAAGCCUGCGAAGGUGCCUUGUAAAGGGUGCUGGAGGUAUCGGAAGUGCGAAUGCUGACAUGAGUAGCGAUAAAGGGGGUGAAAGGCCCCCUCGCCGUAAGCCCAAGGUUUCCUACGCAACGUUCAUCGGCGUAGGGUGAGUCGGCCCCUAAGGCGAGGCAGAAAUGCGUAGCUGAUGGGAAGCAGGUCAAUAUUCCUGCACCGUCGUUAGAUGCGAUGGGGGGACGGAUCGCGGAAGGUUGUCCGGGUGUUGGAAGUCCCGGUCGCUGCAUUGGAGAAGGCGCUUAGGCAAAUCCGGGCGCAGGAUUCAAGGGUGUGGCGCGAGCUCCCUCGGGAGCGAAGCAAUUGGAAGUGGUUCCAAGAAAAGCCUCUAAGCUUCAGUCUAACGAUGACCGUACCGCAAACCGACACAGGUGGGCGAGAUGAGUAUUCUAAGGCGCUUGAGAGAACUCGGGAGAAGGAACUCGGCAAAUUGGUACCGUAACUUCGGGAUAAGGUACGCCCUUGUAGCUUGACUGGCCUGCGCCAGGAGGGUGAAGGGGUUGCAAUAAACUGGUGGCUGCGACUGUUUAAUAAAAACACAGCACUCUGCAAACACGAAAGUGGACGUAUAGGGUGUGACGCCUGCCCGGUGCCGGAAGAUUAAAUGAUGGGGUGCAAGCUCUUGAUUGAAGUCCCGGUAAACGGCGGCCGUAACUAUAACGGUCCUAAGGUAGCGAAAUUCCUUGUCGGGUAAGUUCCGACCUGCACGAAUGGCGUAACGAUGGCCACACUGUCUCCUCCCGAGACUCAGCGAAGUUGAAGUGUUUGUGAUGAUGCAAUCUACCCGCGGCUAGACGGAAAGACCCCAUGAACCUUUACUGUAGCUUUGCAUUGGACUUUGAACCGAUCUGUGUAGGAUAGGUGGGAGGCUAUGAAACCGGAACGCCAGUUUCGGUGGAGCCGUCCUUGAAAUACCACCCUGGUUUGUUUGAGGUUCUAACCUUGGCCCGUGAUCCGGGUCGGGGACAGUGCAUGGUAGGCAGUUUGACUGGGGCGGUCUCCUCCCAAAGCGUAACGGAGGAGUACGAAGGUACGCUAGGUACGGUCGGAAAUCGUGCUGAUAGUGCAAUGGCAUAAGCGUGCUUAACUGCGAGACCGACAAGUCGAGCAGGUGCGAAAGCAGGUCAUAGUGAUCCGGUGGUUCUGUAUGGAAGGGCCAUCGCUCAACGGAUAAAAGGUACUCUGGGGAUAACAGGCUGAUACCGCCCAAGAGUUCAUAUCGACGGCGGUGUUUGGCACCUCGAUGUCGGCUCAUCUCAUCCUGGGGCUGUAGCCGGUCCCAAGGGUAUGGCUGUUCGCCAUUUAAAGAGGUACGUGAGCUGGGUUUAAAACGUCGUGAGACAGUUUGGUCCCUAUCUGCCGUGGGCGUUGGAUAUUUGAAGGGGGCUGCUCCUAGUACGAGAGGACCGGAGUGGACGAACCUCUGGUGUACCGGUUGUGACGCCAGUCGCAUCGCCGGGUAGCUAUGUUCGGAAGAGAUAACCGCUGAAAGCAUCUAAGCGGGAAACUCGCCUUAAGAUGAGAUAUCCCUGGAGGCUUGACCUCCUUGAAGGGUCGUUCGAGACCAGGACGUUGAUAGGUCGGGUGUGUAAGCGCAGUAAUGCGUUCAGCUAACCGAUACUAAUUGCCCGUAAGGCUUGAUCCUAUAACA
rnacentral:rRNA from 1 species